rnacentral:rRNA from 1 species
AGCAGCCGCGGUAAUUCCAGCUCCAAUAGCGUAUAUUAAGGUUGUUGCAGUUAAAAAGCUCGUAGUUGAAUUUCGGGAUCAAUAUGUUGGUCGUGCCUUGGUACGUACUGGCAUUAUUGGUUUCUACCUUCUGAAGAACCUCGAUGUCAUUAAUUUGGUGUCUUGGGGAAUCAGGACUGUUACUUUGAAAAAAUUAGAGUGUUUAAAGCAGGCUCGCGCUUGAAUACAUUAGCAUGGAAUAAUGAAAUAGGACGUUUGAUUCUAUUUUGUUGGUUUCUAGGAUUGACGUAAUGAUUAAUAGGGAUAGUUGGGGGCAUUAGUAUUCAAUUGUCAGAGGUGAAAUUCUUGGAUUUAUUGAAGACUAACUACUGCGAAAGCAUUUGCCAAGGAUGUUUUCAUUAAUAAAGAACGAAAGUUAGGGGAUCGAAGACGAUCAGAUACCGUC